rnacentral:miRNA from 1 species
CAGAGCUUUCACGAAUUGGGC